rnacentral:rRNA from 1 species
UACGUAGGGUGCAAGCGUUGUCCGGAAUUAUUGGGCGUAAAGAGCUCGUAGGCGGUCUGUCGCGUCUGCUGUGAAAACUCAGGGCUUAACCCUGAGCUUGCAGUGGGUACGGGCAGACUAGAGUGCGGUAGGGGAGACUGGAAUUCCUGGUGUAGCGGUGAAAUGCGCAGAUAUCAGGAGGGAACACCGGUGGCGAAGGCGGGUCGCUGGGCCGUA